rnacentral:rRNA from 1 species
UCCGUAGGUGAACCUGCGGAAGGAUCAUUAUUGAAUUAAUGUAGAGUUGGUUGUAGCUGGCAUUUCCUUUAAUUUGGGGAUUGCAUGUGCACACCUUCUCUUUCAUCCACACACCCCUGUGCACUUGUGAGACAGAUUGCUUUUUGGAGGGGGAACUUUAUUGGACCCUUUCUUUUUGGCUCUCUGUCUACUUAAUUAAUAUAAACUCAAUUUAUUUUAAAAUGAAUGUAAUGGAUGUAACACAUCUAAUACUAAGUUUCAACAACGGAUCUCUUGGCUCUCGCAUCGAUGAAGAACGCAGCGAAAUGCGAUAAGUAAUGUGAAUUGCAGAAUUCAGUGAAUCAUCGAAUCUUUGAACGCACCUUGCGCUCCUUGGUAUUCCUUGGAGCAUGCCUGUUUGAGUAUCAUGAAAUCUUCAAAGUAAUAUCUUUUGUUAAUUCAAUUGGUUUUGCUUUGGUAUUGGAGGUCUAUUGCAGCUUCACACCUGCUCCUCUUUGUUCAUUAGCUGGAUCUCAGUGUUAUGCUUGGUUCCACUCAGCGUGAUAAGUUAUCUAUCGCUGAGGACACUUUUUCUACCCUGUAAAAAGAGUUUGGGAGGGGUGGCCAAGGUAAAUGCAGAUGAACCGCUUCUAAUAGUCCAUUGACUUGGACAAUCAAUAUUUAUGAUCUGAUCUCAAAUCAGGUAGGACUACCCGCUGAACUUAAGCAUAUCAAUAAGCGGAGGA